rnacentral:rRNA from 1 species
GAUGAACGCUGGCGGCGUGCUUAACACAUGCAAGUCGAACGAAGCAUUUGCGACAGAUUUUUUCGGAAUGAAGUUGCUUAUGACUGAGUGGCGGACGGGUGAGUAACGCGUGGGUAACCUGCCUUGUACUGGGGGAUAGCAGCUGGAAACGGCUGGUAAUACCGCAUAAGCGCACAAUGUUGCAUGACAUGGUGUGAAAAACUCCGGUGGUAUAAGAUGGACCUGCGUCUGAUUAGCUAGUUGGUGAGAUAACAGCCCACCAAGGCGACGAUCAGUAGCCGACCUGAGAGGGUGACCGGCCACAUUGGGACUGAGACACGACCCAGACUCCUACGGGAGGCAGCAGUGGGGAAUAUUGCACAAUGGAGGAAACUCUGAUGCAGCGACGCCGCGUGAGUGAAGAAGUAAUUCGUUAUGUAAAGCUCUAUCAGCAGGGAAGAUAGUGACGGUACCUGACUAGAAGCUCCGGCUAAAUACGUG